UCUGGCCUUGACUUGACUCUUU
rnacentral:miRNA from 1 species